rnacentral:rRNA from 1 species
CAAUAGCGUAUAUUAAAGUUGUUGCAGUUAAAAAGCUCGUAGUUGGAUUUCUGGUAGGAGCGACCGUGCCGAACUUGAUUGUUCGAGUAUUGUGUUGUCUUCAGCCAUCCUCGUGGAGAACUUUUCUAACAUUAACUUGUUGGGAUUGGGACCCGCGUCGUUUACUGUGAAAAAAUUAGAGUGUUUAAAGCAGGCAUUAGCUUGAAUACAUUAGCGUGGAAUAAUAAGAUAGGACUUUGGUACUAUUUUGUUGGUUUGCAUACCAAAUUAAUGAUCAACAGGAACAGUUUGAGGAUAUUCGUAUGAACAUGUCAGAGGUGAAAUUCUUGGAUUUUGAUCAGACGAACUACUGCGAAAGCAUUUAUCAAGGAUGUUUUCAUUAA